AGCCUGAAAGACUGAAAGCCUGUGAUCUCCUUAGGAAGGGCUUUAUGUCAAGGCAAACUAUUUCUUCUGGUCAAAUCUUAUUUGGAUUAUUUCAAAAUUUUUUGCUUGACAUUUGGCAUGUCAUUUGUGCCACAGCUGCCAUAGAUAAGAUGUGUCUUCUGUUGCUCAUUUCAGUUCAAAGAGGAAACACACAAUCAAUUAGCAAAUACACCUCUAAAAAUGUACUCAGUGAGAGAAAAUUGCUAAACCACUGAAGCAAACAGCCCUUGACAGAAAAGAAAAAGAUCCAUGAAUCAUCUAAUGCAAAUACUGGCAUUAUUACAAAGCACAAUGUUCACAACUAUCUAGUAUCACCCAAACGAAAUGGUUUCUAAAAUUUGGGUCGUUAAAAAUAAGAUUCAUUAGAUUCCUUAUUUUCCUCCAUUGAACAGUGUUAAUUAUGUGAUGUCAUAUUUUCCAUAUGAAUAUAUUACGUUUUUACACACCACUCCACAUUCAUUAAUUCAGCUAAUGGUGGGAUCAAGAUUUUCAGCUGAUGGAAGCUUUGGUUGGAUGC
rnacentral:lncRNA from 1 species